GUACCACACCAAGCAAAGCUCUCUGGGUGACACAGUUGCCACCACCAGGGCACUGACCCUUACUCUGUGUUCUCCUAGCUCCUCCUGAGGGUGCUGUAGGAGACAUCUGCAAAAAAGAAGAUGCUGGCAAUAUGCCAUCAACCUCAGAGGGGAGUAUUUACCUUGAAAUGGCUCACUUCCUGAGGAACAAACUUGCUGGAUCUAGUGUACGGAAACCUGAUUCUGGGUUCCUUUGGGAAGGAGCAUUACGGGCCUGCUCCUGGACCACCUCAUAUCACCAGCACCCUCUACCCAAGGUCCUGGAGCCAACACUGGAGUAAAAGAGCACAAGAGAACUCCUUAGAGGUGGAAGGAUACCCUCUGAGGUCAAAUCAUUGGGCUUGUGGCCAUGAGACCACAGACUUUGCCUGGCUUCCAGUGACUGUCCGAGAUGACCUGUGGAGUGCACCGCCUGUACUUGGACAUCACUGUCUUUUCGGAUCCAUACCCGUCAUCCUUGGAAUUUCCCCUGCAUCCAAACCUGUUCCUGAUACAGGUGUGAGUAAUGAAUAACCCUAAGGAAUAUCUUGGAUGUCUUCACGGGGCUUAUGACUUAUUCUGAGGUUUACAAAAUAGAGGCCCCCAGCUGAGCAAAGAGAGGGCUGCAGCGCCGAGGGAACAGCUGCCGGACUCACCGGAGAGGCCUCCUGGAGCACGCCGGGACCCCCUCCACCCCCUGGCUUUGG
rnacentral:lncRNA from 1 species